UUGGUUAGAAACCUGUCGAUUGUUAAAAAGACAGUUGAAGCUUGGAGUCAUAAUUUAGAUUAGAUUUUAGGUUUUGGGUACUAUCACAAACAAUUUAUUG